GUAGCUCCUGAAGUUCUGCCAUUCCCCGUGGUCUGCAGUUCAGGAAGCUUCUGGAACAUGCGGCGCCUCUGCCAUGGAAACACAGUUCGCCUUGGCAGCUGUCUGAAAGUUAAUCCUGUGAAGGGACCUGAAGCAGCCCUCUGAGGAAGCCUCGCGCACCCCUGCCGAAGAACAUCGCAGUGUGUUCAUUCCCCUUCCGUUGGCCUCAGGAUCCAAGCAGGAAAGAAGAGGGAAGAACUCUGAAGGACAUGAGAGGGACCCAGCUUACAGUCCAGGUGAGUUCCUUGUUCCAGUACAAUAUUUGAAAGUGUCUUUUGCAUUCUCCACGGAGUCUUCAAGUGCUGCAACACUGAGGGAAGGGCCGUGCCUAGUAGCUGUGUGUCACUAUGGACUCUGUGGUAUAGGAGAUGGGCUCUGGCCAGUUGCCUUUGAAGAUGAACUUCGUUUCCAGAUAGUUUUCACACAGGGCGGUAGGAGAUUUCUUACUGCUACACCUUCCACCCUAGCCCUGACCCUCGCCACCAGGCCGCCCAGCCAUAUUAGCUCAGAAGAUCCAUAAAGGGGCUGGAGCCCCAGUCCCCUCCCCUCUGCUUGAAGAUGUUAUUAAUUAGAGUUGUGCUAGGAUGCAGGAAUGACCUUGGGAAGGGGCACUUGGUGACUAAGCAAGAAUGGGCACGGGUGUGCUGACUCACCACACCCAGCUUGCAGGGGAGGCUGACUGAGGACCACCCUCAGGGUGACCUUGGAGGUCUGCAGGCUCAGCUCCCGCAUUGCCUAGUCCUAUACCUGUCGGGGAAAUGGUAACUUCGGAACUUAGUAGGCAGACAGUUUCUGGAGGUAACAUAGAGACAUGAAGGGGUACACUGAGCUGGUCCCCAAGGGGGCCCCAGGUGAAGGUCACAGCCCUUCCUUUUCGCCUACGGCUGAGUUCUGGGUCCCACCAAGAAUAGAACUCCCCUUCCUCGUUGGCUAUGAAAAUGUCUUAAUGUCUCUAAAUCCCAAGUUGCCUUAUGGCCACAGCCCUGCUUCCAACCUUCUUCUAAAGCAAGUACGUUAAGAGAUGGAGAUGUCGCUCAAUUGGUAAGGUGCUUGCCUAGCGUGCACAGAGAAGCCCUGGCUCCCUUUUGCAAUUCUUCAGAAACCAGGUGUGGUGGUGCAUUCUUGUAAUCCCAGUACUUGGGAACAUGUGGGCAGGCCGCAUCGGGAUCUGUUGUCUC
rnacentral:lncRNA from 1 species